rnacentral:rRNA from 1 species
GACGAACGCUGGCGGCGUGCUUAAAACAUGCAAGUCGAACGGAAAGGCCCUGCUUUUGUGGGGUGCUCGAGUGGCGAAAGGGUGAGUAACACGUGAGUAACCUGCCCUUGACUUUGGGAUAACUUCAGGAAACUGGGGCUAAUACCGGAUAGGAGCUCCUGCUGCAUGGGGGGGGUUGGAAAGUUUCGGCGGUUGGGGAUGGACUCGCGGCUUAUCAGGUUGUUGGGGGGGUAGUGGCUUACCAAGGCUUUGACGGGUAGCCGGCCUGGGAGGGUGACCGGCCACAUUGGGACUGAGAUACGGCCCAGACUCCUACGGGAGGCAGCAGUGGGGAAUAUUGCACAAUGGGCGGAAGCCUGAUGCAGCAACGCCGCGUGCGGGAUGACGGCCUUCGGGUUGUAAACCGCUUUCGCCUGUGACGAAGCGUGAGUGACGGUAAUGGGUAAAGAAGCACCGGCUAACUACGUG